GACGAACGCUGGCGGCGUGCUUAACACAUGCAAGUCGAACGGAAAGGCCCUGCUUUCGUGGGGUGCCCGAGUGGCGAACGGGUGAGUAACACGUGAGUAACCUGCUCUACACUUUGGGAUAACUUCAGGAAACUGGGGCUAAUAUCGGAUAGGAGCCCCCGUUGCAUGGUGGGGGUUGGAAAGUUUCGGCGGUCGGGGAUGGACUCGCGGCUUAUCAGCUUGUUGGUGGGGUAGUGGCUUACCAAGGCUUUGACGGGUAGCCGGCCUGAGAGGGUGACCGGCGACAAUGGGACUGAGAGACGGAGCAGACUGCUACGGGAGGCAGCAGUGGGGAGUAUUGUACAAUGGGCGGAAGCCUGAUGCGGCAGCGCCGCGUGUGGGAUGACGGCCUUCGGGUUGUGAACCGCUUUCGCCUGUGACGAAGCGUGAGUGACGGUAAUGAGUGAAGAAGCACCGGCUAACUACGUG
rnacentral:rRNA from 1 species